rnacentral:rRNA from 1 species
UGGGGAAUUUUGGACAAUGGGCGCAAGCCUGAUCCAGCCAUGCCGCGUGAGUGAAGAAGGCCUUCGGGUUGUAAAGCUCUUUCGGUGGGGAAGAAAAGGUACGUGCUAAUACCACGGACUAAUGACGGUACCCGAAGAAGAAGCACCGGCUAACUACGUGCCAGCAGCCGCGGUAAUACGUAGGGUGCAGGCGUUAAUCGGAAUUACUGGGCGUAAAGCGUGCGCAGGCGGUUUGUUAAGACAGAUGUG